AACAUAGCCCACAGGUUUGAAGAAUUCACAGCCUGGUGAAGUAGGGACUUUGAAGGUUGGAGCAGAGAUAGAGGAGAGAGGAGGAGAUGCAACCGCCCUCGCUGGAGUCCCAAGCAGUGAAUGCCUUUAAACUGGGUAUUUCUACCUUCAGUCAUGUCCAUCGAGUACACCAUUGAUAUCCAACUGACAGAGUUGGCAUUUUCUGAGAUCUUGGAUUCAGAAGAAGCAGCUUUGAGUACGACUGUCAAAGGUGCUGGGCAUUGUGCAUCAUCAAAACCCACAGCAGAAAGUCCAGCACCUACUGAACAGAAGCUGAAAGAGGAGGAGGACUACAAGGAAGAGGAAGAGCUAAAAGAUGAGUUGAGUCAGACAGAAGACUACCGCUGCAGAGUCUGCGAGCUUCAGUUGUCCUCCAUCUUCAAACUGAAAGAGCACAUGAACCAACACACAGGGGUACGUCCAUACCAUUGUGCUGAAUGUCGAAAGCGCUUCUUCAAGGUUUCCAGCUUCUGUGCCCACCUGCGUAAACAUCACACAGGGGCUCGUCUAUACCGUUGUGUUGAAUGUCGAAAUCACUUCUGCAAGGUUUUCAGCUACCGCGCCCACCUGCGUAAACAUGUUCAGGCUAAAGAGCUUUUCCGUUGCCGUAUUUGUCUGAUAGGCUUUCAGUCAUUUAAAGACUUGAACACCCACCUGGCCAUGAAUCACUUAAAGAAGGAGUUUUAUGAGUGUGACUUGUGCAAAUGUCUAUUUGCUUCUUUGAAGACAUAUCAAUCCCACAAGCAGUUACACAAAACCAAAGUAGGUUUUACAUGCACAACGUGUGGCCGCUAUUAUUCUACUUCACAGUCCUUCGCAUACCAUCAGAAGAAGGUAUGCUAUCGCGUUUUAAGAUACACUGAUUGUACAAAGACCUUUACUCAGAACAUCGCUCUCCUGAAACACCGUUUCUCCCAUCUGGGUUUGUUGCCUUACACCUGUGUACAAUGCGGCCGCCACUUUCGCUUUGCAAAGCUGUCCUACCAACACAAAUGCCAACCUCAGCGCAUUAACUGCGUUGCAUGAGAGAAUUUCUCAACGAGGUGGACUUUCAGCAGCACAAAAAGGACACAGGCUGCUGGGGCCAUCUGGAGGCAAAGCCAGAUGCGAUCUGCUGUCUGGAGUGUGGCCAGUCAUUUGAUACUAAAGAAGAGCUGAAGAAACACAGUGGCGCUCACCAGAGAGUGCUGAAAUGUGUCGAAUGUGGAAAGGGCUUCUGGUCAGCCUUGCUGUGAAUGUCCCACAUGGGUGGUCACGCCAGCAAAUCUCCCUGCCUCUGUCAGACAGGUUUUCCUCAUCGGCAGGGCUAUGACAGUCACCUGAAGACCUGCGGAAAAACACCCCUACCUACGCUUGCUACCUGCCUGUACCUCCACCAUGUUGAUUGAUUCCCUGUGUACCGAACCUGUUGCCUGCCUAUUGGAUAAAGCCAUUUUUCUUGAUCUACACCUGUGUCUGUGAGUCUGCAUAUGCCUCCUACAACCUUCAGGGCCAAGCCACCACAAGCCAUGACAGAACAAUCUGGCCAGUACCUGGAGGCAGUGGACUCAGAUCCUGAGCUGAACUUGAUGACAAUUAAAGAGAUCUUCGCUGACAUAAGAUUUUUUUUUUCACCUGUUUCCGCCACACCUACACCCCAUGGGAAAAGUUUGACUACCUGGAGCAAGCUUGGGAAGUCACUGAAGCAAAUACCUGGCUCUACAGCCUCUUCCCUGACUUAGAAGAUCUGGACAGUUUGUUUACUGCAGAGAGGCUCCCAGACUGGGUGAAGCAACCUGAGCUAUAUCCGCAGUCCACUUGCCCGCCAUGCAAUGAUGACACUGAGUGGGUUGACUUAGAUGAGGAUUCCUCAUCUGAGACAGAGGAAUCAUCACCCCAGCAGAUGGCAAAAUUUCUCUUCAAAAUACAGGACUUAUUUUUUGAAUUCAGAGACAGUUCAGGAGAGCGGAACAAGCAGCGCAUUCUUUCUGCUUUAGAACUCCUACAUGCUGCACCCGAAAUGACCAAAAUGAAAAUCUUCAGUGUUUCCAGUGCUUCAUCACGUUCUGCAGUGCCAAAGCUAAAGAAAGACAUAUGAAGAAGAGCCACAGGGAAGAGUACAAACAGCUGCAGCAGGUGUAGGUGUGACCAGCAGCCUGAUUAUAUAAAUUCCCACACAAAGCCUGUUCGACAACUAUCAGCCAAAAACAUCCCGCGGAGCACAACGACGCCCUGAGGAGUGUACAAAUGUAGCGCUUCAUCAG